rnacentral:lncRNA from 1 species
UUUGCCUUAAAAAAUUUUUAAAAAAAAGCCGAUAAAAGGAAUAAAGGAAACGCGCAAUCCCUAACCACUCACAUUCGUUGUCUUCUUCUUCAAUUUUCACGAAUUACAAUCACAACGACUCACUCAGUCACACACACCAGCCCUAACCCCACCUAAGCUAUCAAACGCCAAUGCCGCUGCCGCUGUCAAAUCGAUUCAAGUGCUCCGGCGCUGAGUCUAGCCGUCCUUGAGCCGAUUUGCUUCCUUUUUCUGCCGCCGCUGUCAAUCUCUGCCAUUUUUGAGCCGAUUCACUUCCGCAAAACAGCUGCUGUCAUCUCUGCCGACAUUGCCUCUGUGUUCGUUCACCGUCAGAUGCAGUGUUAUUGUGGUGACACUGCCUCCGCUAUCAAGUCAGUUCAAAUUUUCUGGGUGCUAUCUCGAAAAUGUUUGUGAGAUUGUUGCCAAUGAUAUUCUAAAAUUUUGAAUUCAGGGUUAUUGUUUCACCACUGUGAGUUGCUUUCUCCAAUUUUGCAAUUCUUUCCUCUUAAUUUGCUUUGAAAUAUUUGCUCGUUGGAUUUAUUUCCUCUUCAUUUAUUUCGAUUUGGUGAUUUUGUGUUGUGUAGCUUGUACCUUAGUCUCUCCUUUUCCUUUCAUAAUAUUAUAAAAUAUGUCGUGCACUUUGGCCUUUCGUUUCUUGAUUUUCUUGGUUAAUGAAUUUGGAAAAAGAGUGAAUUAUGGGUAAGGGGAUAGAAAAUCACAUUGACAGAAAAGAGGACUGAAACGCCCUGAUUUUUACUAAGUGGAGUUUACUUAUUUGUUAAAAAAAUAAAUUUUAAAUUAUUAAUGAUUUAAUUGUCUUAUGCUUAUUAUAUUGUUCGUAAAAUUUUUGUUACAAGUCCAGCCCAUGAACCUCUUUAUGUUUUAGCAUUUCUUUAUUUAUUUACGAAACGAAAACCAGCGUUCGAAUUCAAAAGUAACAAAACAGAAAAAGGAAGAAAGGAAACAAGAGGAUAACAGGACGUGAGAGAGGAGAAGAGGGAGAAAGAAGAGAAAGACAAGAGAGGCUAGGUGAAGGAUUUGGAUUUAAAGAGAGAGAAUUCAAUUUCAGAGCAAAAUAUUAAAUAUCUGGCUUUUUAAAUUUGUAAGCCUUAUUCAAUUUCAGAGCAAAAUAUUAAAUAUCUGGCUUUUUAAAUUUGUAAGCCUUCUUUCUCAGUUCACUUUAUUCUUUUAUUUUUCUUCAAAAUUCUUGUUUAAAUUGGCAUGCUUGUUGAUGUUGUUAAGUCAUUUCUAAAUUAACUUGCAUGCAUGAUUAAAAUUCUGUUUAUUUAGGUAUUAUGUCAUUGAAAUUAGUCUCAUUUGCCAUGCUUGUUUCAAGUUCCGAUUCUUAUUUGAAAAAAAAAAAAUUUCUAUGUUCGUUCCAUAAUCUGUUUUGGGUAUUAAAGUUGAUACUACCUAGCAAAUUCUAAACUGUAAUGGCUGAUUUCUUCUCUUAUUUUUGUUUAAUCUAUUCAAAUUCAUGUAUAAAUUUACAGGUGUCAGAUAUUUGCCUAAUUAUCAUGUAUGUGUUAAAUUCAUUUUGGGUGAAUUUUUAUACUAUUUAAUCAACUUCAAAGUUACAUGGGUUUGGCCAAUUAUCACAUAAUCUCUUCUUUGACUAUUUGAUUAGAUUUUUGUUCAUGCGUGGCUUAAUUAAUUUCGAAAUCUUCUUACUUGUGAGUGUGGUCAAACCCCAAACAAAUGAAGAAGUCUUCUGGUUUUAUGUCUUAAAUAGAGUGCCUGUAAAUAUAAAAUCGAGAUUGAGCUAAUGAGUGAAAAUGAUGGUACUUGGAUUUUUUGAGGCUCUGUUUUUUUUUCUUUACUUUAAAAGCUAAUUUGUUUAGCUUUACCUUUGAUUUGAAUUUUUUGCUUCUGUUCUUUGCAGCCAACCUAUGAAAAUGGUGAUAAUUGGGCUCCAAUAAAUAUUGAUUUAAUAGGAACCACAUUGGUAAGCCUAGUUGCAAGACAAGAACUACUUUGCAAAGCAUGCUAUGUGUAUAAUUCUGAGCAUUAAGGAUUCAGUUUCUGAACGGCAAGCUUGCUGGCUGGGUAUAAAUGUUCCAAGUGCCAAUCCCACCUUAUGUAAGCACAAAAUAUAGUCUCCAUUUCCUUUUUGGAUUAUAUUUGUUUGUAUAGUUAUAUGAUACUGGAUUUUAAUUUAAGAAUUUGUGCAGUACAUUUUUUUACUGUUAGGAGUUAGUUUGAUCAAGGUUAUUUAAGUACUAAACUGUUACAAUUGAGCUUGUAUGCAUUUAAGUUCUUUAUAUGUAAAUGACAAUUAUAUCAAUGUGUAAUGUAAAUUGAAAUUUGCCAAUGUGGCUUCAAUUGUACAGUUUAGAAUGUGAAAAUAACUAUCUAAAUUUUAAUUUAAAAAAA